ACUUGAUUGAAGAAUCACUGAGCGAUUCCACGAUUUCAUUUCAUUUUCGCCCUCUACACAAAAAUUGGGAUUUGGGAUUGAGAACUUGGAAUUGGUGAAGAGUGCAAGAGAGAGAGAAUGGGUCUGGUGUGGUUGGAAGCGAUGCUGCCACUGGGAAUUAUAGCAGGAAUGCUCUGCGUUAUGGGGAAUGCACAGUAUUACAUCCACAAGGCUGCUCACGGCCGCCCCAAGCACAUUGGGAACGACAUCUGGGAUGUGGCCAUGGAGAGACGUGACAAGAAGAUCAUCGAGAUGCUCUCUUCGCCUCCCGCUUCCAACUGAUUUAGGUCGUUUUACUUUUAUUAUCACUUUUGUUAUUCGUCAUCUAUGCCAUCUGAUAUCUGUUUCUCCACUAUGGUUUUCGUAGAAAGAAUUUGGGAACUUUUUGAUGUUCUAGCUGAGUUGGCCUUAAUGCUGAAAGAUAACAUAGCAUAAUAAUACUGUCAAAUUAAGUAAAAAUGUACUUUCUCUUGGGUGCAAUGCUAAGCUGUUGUAUCUUGUUGUGCGUUGGUUUAAAAUUUUACUUGUAUAUUUCUAUGUAAAGGACCUUAUUAUCAUUCCGUUAAAACUAUAAUGUACCUUUCAAGAAAAUAUAUUCAAUAUUUUUAGUUGUAAAUAACAGGCUUCUUUGAACUAUUGGUUUUUGUUGAUGGAUCAUAUCAGAAGUAAAAAAAGCUUUAGGCACCAAGAAUAGUUGUGUUCCAGUUUGUGCCAUUUGAGGAAUUUCUUGAGUUUGUAAUAUAAAACAUUGUGUGAUUAGGGGUGUAUAGAAAUAUAUGUUAUCCGUCCCCAUGGGAGAUCCUCUCAAACUAAAUGCAUCUCUCUGUAGCUCUUAGUUUUGGUUUGGCUUGAUGAAGACUCUAUUAGUUCUUGCUUAUAUUUCUUGCUUUUAGUUUUUGCCUCUGAUAUCUUUGCCAAGUAACCUUAUUUACCUUUUCUUCAUCGUCGUUCUGCCCUUAGUCAUCAUCUUUAUUUACAAUCUCUUUUUAUUCUUACUGGGAGGAUGAUAUGUUGUGAACUUAUUGGAUUUGAAUAAUAAAUAUAUAUGUAAAAAACAGAUAAAUCUAAUAUUUUGAAGAAAUUUAGAUAUAAAAGGAUUCUUAUCUUAUAGUUAUACCUACAUAUUAAUUUACUAAACUAUCCUUGAAAAUUAAAAUUAACAAAGAUAUUAUAAGUAAAUCAAAAUUUGCUAGAUUGCACACUUUUAUAAUAAUAAUAAUAGAUAAAUAUACUCUCUUUGUCCCAUAAGAGCGUGCGCUUCUUUCCAUUUUGGGACCUCCCACAAGAGUGUGCAUAUGCUAUUUUUGGACAUUACCUCACCACCAACUCCUUUUCUUACUCCUACUUUACACUACAAUAAAGUGGACCCUUUUUAUUUUGAGCGAAAGGUAAUAUCAUUACUCAUGAAGAAAGGUUUACAUCAGGCGGAAAUAAACCAGAAUACAUAGGAGAAACACGGUGAACAAAAGUAAAAUGAGCUAGUUUAUCCGCUGCUUCAUUACCCUCUCUCGGAGUCCAACUGUUAGGCAUAUAAGUUAGGGAGCCCUAACUUAACCCAAAACCAUGGUCAAAGGUAAAGGGUUGACCCCCUCUUAUAUACCAUUCCACACUUUCAUGUGGAACCGAUGUGGGAUAUCGUAACAAUCCAUCCCCCAUUAAGACCGGACGUCCACGGACGGCACACGGAACGGUGGCACCCUUGCACAGGGCACCCUUGCACAGGACCCACUUCCCGGGUGGCAACCCACACUGGGCCCAUCCGGGGUGGCAACCCCUAGGCAACCCCUAGGCCCACCAUCGGCAGCCCCUUUCCGUAAACGUCCGGAUCCGGCAGGUCGGACCAAAUUGUUAGGCAUAUAAGUUAGGGAGCCCUAACUUAACCCAAAACCAUGGUCAAAGGUAAAGGGUUGACCCCCUCUUAUAUACCAUUCGAUAUCCCACAUCGGUUCCACAUGAAAGUGUGGAAUGGUAUAUAAGAGGGGGUCAACCCUUUACCUUUGACCAUGGUUUUGGGUUAAGUUAGGGCUCCCUAACUUAUAUGCCUAACAAUUUGGUCCGACCUGCCGGAUCCGGACGUUUACGGAAAGGGGCUGCCGAUGGUGGGCCUAGGGGUUGCCUGCCACCCCGGAUGGCCCAGUGUGGGUUGCCACCCGGGAAGUGGGUCCUGUGCAAGGGUGCCACCGUUCCGUGUGCCGUCCGUGGACGUCCGGUCUUAAUGGGGGAUGGAUUGUUACGAUAUCCCACAUCGGUUCCACAUGAAAGUGUGGAAUGGUAUAUAAGAGGGGGUCAACCCUUUACCUUUGACCAUGGUUUUGGGUUAAGUUAGGGCUCCCUAACUUAUAUGCCUAACAAUUUGGAUUGUUACGAUAUCCCACAUCGGUUCCACAUGAAAGUGUGGAAUGGUAUAUAAGAGGGGGUCAACCCUUUACCUUUGACCAUGGUUUUGGGUUAAGUUAGGGCUCCCUAACUUAUAUGCCAAACAAUUUGGUCCGACCUGCCGGAUCCGGACGUUUACGGAAAGGGGCUGCCGAUGGUGGGCCUAGGGGUUGCCACCCCGGAUGGGCCCAGUGUGGGUUGCCACCCGGGAAGUGGGUCCUGUGCAAGGGUGCCCUGUGCAAGGGUGCCACCGUUCCGUGUGCCGUCCGUGGACGUCCGGUCUUAAUGGGGGAUGGAUUGUUACGAUAUCCCACAUCGGUUCCACAUGAAAGUGUGGAAUGGUAUAUAAGAGGGGGUCAACCCUUUACCUUUGACCAUGGUUUUGGGUUAAGUUAGGGCUCCCUAACUUAUAUGCCUAACACCAACUGUAGGCAAUAUUGAACAUAGUCAAGGCCAUGGCAUGGAUUUUCUUCAAUGUGAUACCCAAGUAUGAAUAUAUGAUAGGUCCUCCUCUCUUCAUGAAAUCUUCCAGUAAAGGCUUUGGCAAUCCAUCUCCACCACGAUGUUCUUCCCCAUCUCCUCACACAAUCUAAACCCCUCGAGAACAGCCAGACACUCGCCUUUCUCAGCCGUGAAAGCUCCUGUGCUGAAUCCAUAUCGGCAUCCAACAAUCAUGCCAUUAGAGUCGGUGAGAACCACCCCAAUCCCAGCUCCAAUCCCAUCGAAGAACGCCGCAUCACAAGACACCUUCCAUUGACCCUCACCGCAGCUUAAAGAACGUGCCAAUGUGGGUUUAGAGGUUGUAGAGCAGAUAGUACCAGACCAGGAAACUCGUUGGGCGAUAUAAAAGCAGUCCACAUGGCUGAGCGCCUUCCCCUGAAAAACCAAAUGAUUUCUUGCAUACCACAUCGACCAAAGAAGAUUAGCGAAGGUGUGGCGAGCCUCUUUGCUAGGGACGCUGCAAAAAUCAUCCACCCAAUCCGAAAGCGAUCGAAAACUCGUGGGAUGAAUAGGCACCAAUCUGAGAGGCGAAACUUCCCAAAUAAAGUGGACCCCUUUAUUCACUCCCAAUGCACUCGCCUAAUAUUUAUUAAAACUCGUGCCACCAACAAAAUCAAGGACCGAAAUCAAAAAUCAAGGACCUAAUUUGAAUAUAGUUCAGACUUUUAAUGGAGGAUUUAACUAUUCUUGAAAGAUAAUGUUAUUCAACUAGGAAUUCUAUGCCUAAUGUCAUCUUUUUCUCUUUGCCUUUUAUUUUUAAGCUGCUGGUGUUGUAAAUUUAAGGAGCCUCCAUUUUCCAGUAUGAUCCCUAUCGACCACAAUCUCAGUCCACUUUUUUUUGCAUAUCAACAUGAUUCAAUUGCAACUUCUUUCUAGUUGUGGUUUUUGUGAAUCACCUUUUGUCUCACUCGUCUGAUAUGUUCAUUAGAUCAUCGACAGCCUAGAGCACUGAUAGGGUGUGGUGAGCCUCUUUGCUAGGGACGCCGCAAAAAUCAUCCACCCAAUCCGAAAGCGAUUGAAAACUUGUGGGAUGAAUAGGCACCAAUCUGAGAGGUGAAACUUCCCAAAUAAAGUGGACCCCUUUAUUCACUCGCCUAAUAAUUAUUAAACUCGUGCUACCAACAGUCAUGUACACUUUUAUGAGACGGAGGGAGUAUAAUAUAUCAUUUUAUACUGUUGCCUUUACAUUAAAUACAUAAUAGGUAAACCAUUUUUUUUAAACAAUCUCCUUUAUAAUAGGAAUAGAUUCUGGAAGUCCAUUUUAUCUUUGGGGAUAGUUUUAUUUUUUUGUAGCAGGCAUAGGUCAUACUCAUCAUGUAUAUCCUAUAACUGUAUUGCAGAAGUUUUCGCUUUUUGGUGGGGGAUGUCUUUCUCACAAAGUUUCAUGUAUUCUGGUUUCUUUUCUCUUGAUGCAGGUGACCUAGUUCUUGUGCUUUAGAAUGAAUAAUGAGCAA